rnacentral:rRNA from 1 species
UACGUAGGUGGCAAGCGUUGUCCGGAUUUACUGGGCGUAAAGAGCGCGCAGGCGGUCGUACAAGUCGCGUGUGAAAGCCCCCGGCUCAACUGGGGAGGGUCACGCGAUACUGUUCGACUCGAAGGCAGGAGAGGGAAGCGGAAUUCCCGGUGUAGUGGUGAAAUGCGUAGAUAUCGGGAGGAACACCAGUGGCGAAGGCGGCUCGCUGGACCGGAACUGACGCUGAGGCGCGAAAGCGUGGGGAGCAAACAGG